CUGCCCUUCUGUUUCCUUAUUGCAUAGUAGGGAUGACAAUGCUUGCUUCUACAGGGUGUGUGUGUGUGGGGGGGCACUGGUAGAGGUGGUGGAAAUUCAGCAAGGUAACGCCAGUACAGUGCUGGGUACAUUGAUCAACCUGGGGCCCACCCGUGAUCGCAUAAGCCUGGGAGCCACUCAUGGGUCCUUUCCCUUUGGGAGCCACUCAGAGCCAUGGACAGAGGGAGGGGCUGCUGUAAUUAGCAGACCAGCAACCACUGCUGUAGGAAAUUCUAGUCCCUGGCAGAGGCCGAUUUGUAGGGAGCUCUUUAGAUUCCAAUUCGAACCUUCUCCUGCCGUGUAAGCCCCUUAUCCUUAGCUUGGUGCUCUCUCAUGCUGUGCUGAGAUCAUGCAAAAUUAUUCAACUAAAAUCAUCCAGCAGGAAAAGCAACCGAGCAAUCACAGUUCACUGCUGAGAAGCCAUGGCCUUAACCCAGGCUGGGCAGCAGGAGCUCAGCAGGGCUGAGAGGCCAGCUUGUUUCAGUGUUUUCCAGAGAUGGGAAUGCAGGCCCCGCUGGGCUCCUCUCCUCCAGCAGGUGCUUAGCAGCGAGCCCCAGGACUGAGUGGCCAGAGAGUCUGGAUCCACUUCAGCAUCAGGCAUUAUGGGUGACCCCAGGCUUUCCUGAGCCCCUGCUCUGCCAGUUGGAGUUGCUGGUAUGAGCUAAGGAGUUUGGAGUUCACAGCCAUUGCUCCUGGGCCCAGAGUAGCAUGUCCCCUCUUGGAGUCUUGAGGGCAAUGGGGAAAAGAGAUAGAGGAAGAAAUGAGGGUUAAGAAUAAGAGCAGGAAGAGAGAGGAAGAGGACAGGUACAGGAGGAUAUCCAGGAAUAUUGUCCGUGGGAGUACAUUUAGGCAUAUCUGGGUGCUGGGCCUUGCUUAUAGGGUACUGUGUAUCUCUCCAUCCAUACCUGGAGUGCUGUGGAGACCCAGAAGAUCCUUGGCCAUAAAUGUACUCACCUCUGCACCCCUUCCUUCUCUCAACUGACCACCCAUCCAGCCAUUCAUGGAACCACCCAUCCAUCUACCCACUCAUCCAUCUAUCCACCUACCCAUCCCCCAUCCAUCGACCCAACCAUCCACCUAUCCACCCACCUACGCAUCCACCUAUCCAUCCAUCCAUUCAUUCACCCAUCCAGCUGCCCAUCUAUCCAUCUACCUGUCCACCCAUCCAUCCACCCAUUUAUAAUGUUCAAAUUCCAUAGCAGGCUUUUUGGAAAGGAAAAAGAAGUGAAAAAUAAAAUUCUAAAAGUCUUCAAAACCAAGCUCCUCCCCCACCAAGCCUACUUUUCCUAUCUUGGAUUUUGGCUCUGUCAUCCACUGAAUUGUCCCAGCUAGAAAUCUCAGCCUGGUCUUUGCAGCUUUGCCUGCUCCCUCGCCUGCCCCGCCCCGCCCCCCACCAGCUCUCAUUCUUCCUUUCAGUCCAUUUCACCUUCCAUCACCCUGACUUCCUUUGGUGAUUUCUUCCAUUCAUCAACACCACCACCAGGGCAGGAGGGGGAAGAGACUGACUUCCUUUCUUGAUUCCAGGCCAGGACUGGACAUGGUGGGGGGAAUAAAGAGCUGUGGAACCAGACAGGACUGUUUCUAAGCCUGCCUCUGCCACCUGCCAACAGUGUGACUUUGAACAAGUUGCUUCAACUCCGAGCCUCAGCAUCUUCUUUUUUGAAAAUGGGAGUGUUGAUAUUGCUUCCAGAUGUGUGUGAGGAGGGUGGUUGAACCAGACAAUGAGGAAACUGAGAUCUGAGACUGGAACAUGCCUCUUGCCUUCCAGUUCGAUAUUCUUCAUUCUCUUGGAUUUCCAGAUGGAACGGAUUUGCUCUUCUGGAAUCUCCCAGGAGAUCCCACAGUGAGAAGAUGGCUAUCUGCAAGCCAAGAGGAGAACUCUCAGAAACCAAACCCUGCUGCUACCUUGAUCUUGGACUUCCAGCCUCCAGAACUAUGCUGCAUUUUGGACCACAGACCCAAAAGACCCCAUGUGGAGCAUGCCCCCAAAAGAUGGGAAGCAGCCUCCUCCAGACUUAUGCUGCUCUAUCAAUGUCCCUUAAGGAAAAGAGUUCCUGAUGGGGGAAGGGCCUGUGCCGUGUGACCCCGAGCAAGUGACUUAUUGCCAAGAGUGGCCAACGUCGGGCUAGUCUGAAACUGAUGAUUUUCCUGGGAUGUGGGAGCUUUAGUGCUACAAAGGGGCAAGUCGUGCUGCUGUCUCUGGACCGUGGCUUACUCCCCCCAUCUGCUGGGGACGACUGUGACGGAUUUGCCAGACAAGCAGCCUCCUGCCAUGCAAGGUCCCUCUGACGCGUGUCCUUCUGCUGUGGCCAUGAGAUCUUAACCAGAACAACCCGGAUGGCAGUGCCUGUGAGCACGAACCCCAAGGCUUUGGGAGUGGAUCGUUCUCGUAGCUAGUGACCCAUUUCCAAUGGUCUGGGGAGCUGGCCAGAGUCGCCACUUGCAUUGGUGGGAUUUUCGUUCUCCCUUGCUUCUAGACUCCCUUCAGGAAACAGAAAGGUCCUGUCUCAGAGAUUCAACUAACAGAUGAAAGAAAUGAGGCCCAGAGAAAGUAAAGACCUUUCCAUACAGCACAUCCUUGCCAGGCCCAGAAGGGAAGGGAUGUGGAGGCAGGCCACUUCUUCCCUGCGAAUGCUGUGCCCUAGCUUUCCUGGUUUGGUUACUCAGGAAGAAGUGGGGGUGGAGACGAGGAGGGGCUGGUGCCUGAGAAGGCCUGGAGACUGGCAGCUCUCUGCUAAUGACCCUCCAGGUUGAAAGGGGGCUGGAACUUAGGCCUUACUCUGGGCUUUUGCUGUGUGGCCUUGGGCUGAUUGCAUACCGUCUCUGGGUCUCAGUUUUCCUAUCUGCAAAAUAAAGAAUUUUGGGGGGUGCCUAGAUGGUUCAGUCGGUUAAGUAUCUAUCUUUGG